rnacentral:rRNA from 1 species
AGUGAACGCUGGCGGCAGGCCUAACACAUGCAAGUCGAACGGAAGCACAGUAAGAGCUUGCUCUUACGGGUGGCGAGUGGCGGACGGGUGAGGAAUACAUCGGAUUCUACUUUUUCGUGGGGGAUAACGUAGGGAAACUUACGCUAAUACCGCAUACGACCUACGGGUGAAAGCAGGGGAUCUUCGGACCUUGCGCGAUUGAAUGAGCCGAUGUCGGAUUAGCUAGUUGGGGGGGUAAAGGCCCACCAAGGCGACGAUCCGUAGCUGGUCUGAGAGGAUGAUCAGCCACACUGGAACUGAGACACGGUCCAGACUCCUACGGGAGGCAGCAGUGGGGAAUAUUGGACAAAGGGCGCAAGCCUGAUCCAGCCAUACCGCGUGGGUGAAGAAGGUCUUCGGGUUGUAAAGCCCUUUUGUUGGGGAAGAAAAGCUGCAGGUGAAUACCCGGCUGUUCUGACGGUACCCAAUGAAUAAGCACCGGCUAACUUCGUG